GCAUAUCAAUAAGCGGAGGAAAAGAAACUAACAAGGAUUCCCCUAGUAACUGCGAGUGAAGCGGGAAGAGCUCAAAUUUAAAAUCUGGCGGCUUUGCCGUCCGAGUUGUAAUUUAGAGAAGCGUUUUCCGCGCCGGACCGUGUACAAGUCUCCUGGAACGGAGCGUCAUAGAGGGUGAGAAUCCCGUCUUUGACACGGACCCCCGGUGCUCUGUGAUACGCUCUCGAAGAGUCGAGUUGUUUGGGAAUGCAGCUCAAAAUGGGUGGUGAACUCCAUCUAAAGCUAAAUAUUGGCGAGAGACCGAUAGCGAACAAGUACCGUGAGGGAAAGAUGAAAAGCACUUUGGAAAGAGAGUGAAACAGUACGUGAAAUUGCUGAAAGGGAAACGCUUGAAGUCAGUCGCGUCUGCCAGAAUUCAGCCUUAUGGUGUAUUUUCUGACAGACGGGCCAGCAUCACUUUCGAUUGCCGGAAAAAGGCAGAGGGAAUGUGGCACCUCUUCGGAGGUGUGUUAUAGCCCUUUGUCGUAUACGGUGGUUGGGAGUGAGGACCGCCUAUUUUGUAGGAUGCUGGCGUAAUGGCUUUAAACGACCCGUCUUGAAACACGGACCAAGGAGUCUAACAUGCCCGCGAGUGUUCGGGUGGAAAACCCGUGCGCGUAAUGAAAGUGAAAGUUGGGAAGGCUGUCGCGGCCUGCACCGACGCCCGGACCUGAGAUUUAUCGACGGUUCUGCGGUAGAGCGUGUAUGUUGGGACCCGAAAGAUGGUGAACUAUGCCUGAAUAGGGUGAAGCCAGAGGAAACUCUGGUGGAGGCUUGUAGCGAUUCUGACGUGCAAAUCGAUCGUCAAAUUUGGGUAUAGGGGCGAAAGACUAAUCGAACCAUCUAGUAGCUGGUUCCUGCCGAAGUU
rnacentral:rRNA from 1 species